CAGCCUUGGUAACAUGGAGAGUGGAGUGUUUCUGCCCUGUCUGGAUCAGUUCAUGCUGAGUCCUCUUGUCACUUGGGUGAAGACAUUUGCUUCAAAUAAGGGGGACACACACGGAGUUUGCUGAAUUACUGGAUGGAGUCUUUUUGAAUGACAUAAUGACAGAUAAAUCCUUCAGUUAUAUCCCAGGCUGCAAAUAAAGUAAGCAGGGAUCCAAGUCAAAGGAUCCAGGACCUGAACCUCCUUGUCCAGCAAAUCAAGACAUAUUAUCUGGUGAGUUUUGGAUGUUUAUUGCCCUUCUCAUAUCUUAUACUAUAAAUGUAUCCAAACUACAAGCUGCCACACUUUCAAUCUAGUAUUUGAACAUUUGAUUUAGGGAUGUUUCUGUUCUACAUCACGGACACAUGCACACCAGAUAGUCUGUAGCUUUUGUGUCCCAGAAGAUCAAGUAAUUUUUUUUCAAAACACGUCCUAAAUAUGAGCCAUGUCAACAUGUGUAAUCAGUACAGGAGCAGGGUUA